rnacentral:rRNA from 1 species
CCUUCGACGAGUCGAGUUGUUUGGGAAUGCAGCUCAAAAUGGGUGGUAAAUUUCAUCUAAAGCUAAAUAUUGGCCAGAGACCGAUAGCGCACAAGUAGAGUGAUCGAAAGAUGAAAAGCACUUUGGAAAGAGAGUUAAACAGUAUGUGAAAUUGUUGAAAGGGAAGCGCUGGCAACCAGACUUGCGUGCGGAGGUUCCCCCUUGCUUCUGCUUGGGCUACUCCUUCGUAUCCAGGCCAACAUCGGUUUUGGUGGUCGGUUAAAAGCCUUGGGAAUGUAUCUUCCCCUCGGGAAGACUUAGAGCCCAGGGUGUCAUGCGACCUACUAGGACCGAGGAACGCGCUUCGGCUCGGAUGUUGGCGUAAUGGUUGUCAGCGACCCGUCUUGAAACACGGACCAAGGAGUCUAACAUCUAUGCGAGUGUUAGGGUGUCAAACCCUUGCGCGGAAUGAAAGUGAACGGAGGUAGGAAGUCUUUCGACUGCACUAUCGACCGAUCCUGAAGUUUACGGAUGGAUUUGAGUAAGAGCAUAGCUGUUGGGACCCGAAAGAUGGUGAACUAUGCCUGAAUAGGGGUGAAGCCAGAGGAAACUCUGGNUGGAGGCUCGCAGCGGGUUCUGACGUGCAAAUCGAUCGUCAAAUUUGGGGUAUAGGGGGCGAAAGACUAAUCGAACUAU